GGGUAAAUGUCCUUAUUUUAAGAAUAAAAAUAAAAAAGAAAGUUAUGGGAGUCUACAAUUAUAGGUAUGUGAGCUUGACAUUGAUUGGGGAAAAUUCCAGGUUGUGUAAUGAGAAAAAUGGUUGGCAAUAACUUAGAAAGGUCACUAUGACUUCAUUAGGAACUUAUUACCAGACUAACCUUACUUCCUUUUUUUGAGAGGAUUAUUAAACUAAUGGAUAAGGGGAAUACUAUUAAUUUGAGCAUUUCCUAGUUUUUGGCAAAGGUUGAUCAAAUAUUUCAUGUGUUUGUGGAAAGGAUGGAGAGAUAUGGAUUAAAGUGUAAUAAAAUAAGAAUUGGCUGGACAUCCAGUGUCAAAAAGUUAAUGGAUCAGUAUCAACAUGGUAGGAGGUCCUCUGGGAGAGUAUCCUAGGAAUCAAUCUGGACUUGGCCUUCUGCUCUUCAGCAUUUUUAUCAAUAACUUAGAUAAAAUCAUAGAUUGCAUAUUCAUCAAGUUUAUAAAUGAGACAGAACUAGAAAGAAUAGCUAAUAGUUUAUGACAGAAUCCUAGAGAAGAAGCAGGAGGAAGAGGAGGAAGACGAGGAAGAGGAGAAGCAGGAGAAGAAGGGGGAGGAGGAAGAGAAGGAGUAGGAAGAGAAAGAAGAAGAGGAGGAGAAGGAGGAAGAGAAGGAGGAGAAGGAAGAAGAGGAGAAGGAGGAAUAAGGCAAGCAAGGAAUUGGAAGCUGAGUAGAUGCCCAUCAGUUGGAGAAUGGCUGAAUAAACUAUAGUACAUGAAUUAUGGAAUAUUAUUAUUCUAUAAGAAACAACCAUCAGGAUGAUUUCAGAGAGACCUGGAGAUACUUACAUGAACUGAUGCUAAAGGAAAUGAGCAGAACCAGGAGAACAUUAUACACGGCAACUAGAAGAUUAUAUGAUGGUCAUUUCUGAUGGACCUGGUUCUUUUCAACUGCAAGGUGAUUCAGGCCAAUUCCAAUGGGCUUGUGAUGGAGAGAGCCAUCUGCACCCAGAGAGAGGAUUGUGGGCAUUGCGUCUGGAUCACAACAUAGUAUUUUCACUAUUUAAAAAAAAAAUUGUUGUUUGCUUGCGUUUUUUCUUUUUCAUUUUUUUCCUUUUUGAUUUGAUUUUUCUUGUGCAUCAUGAUAAAUGUGGAAAUAUAUAUAGAAGAAUUGCAAAAAACAAACAAACAAACAUUGUAAGCUUUUUGAGGAUAGGGACUGCCUUUUGCCCCUUCUUGUAUCCCCACAGUGCCCCACAUAGUAGGCACUUAAUAAAUGUUUUAAUAGUUGA